rnacentral:tRNA from 1 species
GCAGUGGUGGUUCAGUGGUGGAGUUCUUGCCUUCCACAUGGGAGACCUGGGUUCAAUUCCCGGCCAGUGCA